rnacentral:misc_RNA from 1 species
AUCAGUCAACAUGGCAUGGCCAUCAGCAUCUAGAAGAAUGUUCUCAGGUUUUAGGUCACGGUGCAUAAUCCCAUUUGCAUGAAGGUGAGAGAUUGCAGACACCAUUUCAGCCGUGUAUAUGCAUGCAAGUUCUUCCCUGAACAAACCAUGGUGAUAAAGUUGAAAGAAAAGGUGUCCCCCAUUCACAAAAUCCAGUACAAGAUACAAUCGAUACUUCGUCUGAAAAGAGUAUCGUAGCUGAACAAUGAAUGGGUGAUCUACUUUUGUCAAUAUAUCCCUCUCAGCUUUCAUAUACUCGGCAUGAUUCUUUUCCAUAAUCUUGUCCUUUCUCAUGACUUUCAUUGCAUAAAUUUCUGAAGUUCCUUUUUUCUUCACCUGAAACACCUUGCCAAAUGCUCCUUGUCCAACCACCUUCAUAACUUCAAAAUCAUUUAGUCCAACACCCUUGGCCUUCUCAGACUUAGUUUCAAGCUCUUCAGAAUCAUAAAUAGAUGGCUCAUCUGGUUCUCCAAGAACCACCCCAGAGGCACACUCUACAAGUUCCAAUGAACUCUCAGUUUCACGUAAUGUAAGCUUGCUGAGCCGCUGCAUUGAUGGACUGACACAGGUUGUGGGCCCGACCAGAGAAUGAGAUCGGUUGAGAACCACCACUGGAUCAACGUAAACUCUCUCAGUUGAAUGAGAUGCAUGAUCAAGGCCCUCAGAAGUCACCGCAUUCAUGUUAUCAGGGGAAGGACCAAAUACAUCAGAGAAAUCAAAUUCAACUUGCUCAGAAGUGACAAUUUCAAGGGGCACCACAGGAAGUAGCUGUCUCUUAAACGACCGGUGACCAAGGGUUUUGGUCAUGGUCGAUAGCUGAGAGGAAACCAUUUCAGAAUGGUCGAUAGCUGUAAUUGGUUGGUUGGUUGGUUCCCUCUAUGUUUGGCUCCCUCCACAACUCCCAAAGGUAAUUGAUGAAGGACCACUAACAACGGACUUGAACAACUGGAAGUUCACGUGGAUGACUCGAGCUCCCGGGAAUACAGGGAGCAAGCAACCGUAAAUCCAGAAGUUGCCCUUGUUUCCCGAUACACAGGAAACACUAGAUGCCAGUGAACUUCUUGAAUUCAUGAAAUUG